rnacentral:tRNA from 14 species
GUGCUCGUAGCUCAGGUGGUUAGAGCAUCGGUCUGUUAAACCGAGUGUCGUAGGUUCGAAUCCUACCGAGUACGCCA